GUACGGGAGGCAGCAGUGGGGAAUCUUGCGCAAUGGGCGAAAGCCUGACGCAGCGACGCCGCGUGCGGGAAGAAGGCCUUCGGGUUGUAAACCGCUUUCAGGAGGGACGAAGCCACUCGGGUUAAUAGCCCAGAGGGUGACGGUACCUCCAGAAGAAGCCCCGGCUAACUACGUGCCAGCAGCCGCGGUAAUACGUAGGGGGCGAGCGUUGUCCGGAUUUAUUGGGCGUAAAGCGCGUGUAGGCGGCUUGGUAGGUCUGCUGUGAAAACUCGGGGCUCAACCCCGAGACGUCGGUGGAAACCACCUGGCUAGAGUCCGGAAGAGGAGAGUGGAAUUCCUGGUGUAGCGGUGAAAUGCGCAGAUAUCAGGAAGAACACCCGUGGCGAAGGCGGCUCUCUGGGACGGUACUGACGCUGAGACGCGAAAGCGUGGGGAGCGAACAGGAUUAGAUACCCCGGU
rnacentral:rRNA from 1 species